GCCAGGAAUCAGGCUUCUCAAAAGAAGCAGUGCAGAGUGAAGAAGUGUGCAGAGGCCCCUGUUUUAUGGAAAGAAGUCCAUUUUAACAUCACUAAAGGUUUUAUUUGUUCAUCAUGUCACAGUUUUUUCUCCAGUCAGAGUGAAACUUGAAGCUUCAUUGAGGUCCAAGUUUAUCUUUGUGAUUCAUCCUCAGCCUGUGAUCUGUGUUUGUUUGCCCUGAGCUGCGACUUCAGGCACGCUUCCUCUUCAGAUUUGCAGCUUUAUGGAAACGUACUGGUAUAACUAAAGCUUACGCAAAAUGUUAUGUCUUUAUUUUUAACACCUAUGGUUACUAGUUAUGGCUUUAUAAUGCUUCCGAAUCAGAGCAGAGGCACUGACUGCCUGCAAGGAAAAAGCCCAUGGAGCGUUACGUUUAUUCUACCUUUGUCACACGCCCUGGUGUGACUCACGCCUGGGCGUGAUAGUGGGAUUUGUGCACUUCUGUCAAUGGUGGAUUUUCUCAGUGACCUUGGAGCGUUACUGUCACCAUGAAAAGACAUUACAGAAAAUACUGAUGAUUUGAUGGAUAAGAAUUUAAAAGAUAUGAGCUCCACCAUGGAUCUUGUAGAAGGGAAAAAUGAUGGGAUCCUUCCCUCCAAAAACACUACACCAGGGGAACUUUGUGGGCCCACUGAAGCUCAGAGGUAAGUUACUUGUGUUUCUGACACUUACACACUCACUGGCCACAUCCUUAGGUACACCUGUUAAACUGCUUAUUAACUUGUAUCUUAUUAACCAAUCACAUGGCAGCAACUCAAUGUAUUUAGGCAUAUAGACACAGUGAAGACGAUCUGCUGCAGUGCCUGAUGUGCAGAUGCCGGUCAGCCCUUUUCAACCAGUACUGACGUAUUAAGAGGCUGUCAGUUAUCUGUAUCCCCGAAAACUUGAUCCUGCUGAAUAAUUUGCCAGCACUAUUGUCAGUGAGCUGUGAAUGACUGAGAAUGAGUAAAUUAAAUCCAUAGUAAAAAAGAAAUUUAAACUGGGUCAAGUUGAACUACAAACACCACCAAGUGUGGUUCAAUUUCUUACUCUUAAAACCCCAAAAUUACUUUCCAAAAUAUACAGAAUGCUUUCUAAAACGGAUGAAUCAAUAUCACUUCCUAUUGCAAAAUGGGAAGCGGAUUUAUCAGUUAACUUAGACCAAAACUUCUGGUCUCAGAUUUGCUUAAAAACCUUUCAUUUAAUUAGAAAUCCCAGUCUUCAAUUAAUUCAAUACAAAAUACUACAUAGAGUGCACUAUACAGGUCAUCGGAUGUUCAAGAUGGGCUUUACGUGUCAUGAUACUGGGCCAUAUUGGCCCAGCAUUCUUAGUUUUCUUGUAUUUUUGUAUUGUGUUCCUUAUGCCAUGGUUCCUAGGUUCUGUUAAAGAUGUUCCUUAUUUGGUUACCUCCUGUGUGCCCCUG